CAGGGGGUGGGGGGGAGUUCCCUCAGCCUGGAUUGCGAAAGGAUGCCAGCCAGGCCGAGGGACCCCACUGGUGCACU
rfam:Myotis lucifugus cont2.67150, whole genome shotgun sequence.